UAUGUGCAAACAAAAUAUCAAAGGUUCAAAAGUCAAACUUAGAAAAAAAUAAACAAUACCAUGUUUGCAUUCCCAGAGUUCAACGCGAGGGAAAAUGGCUGACAAUGACGUCAGAACAGUGCCGAGGAGCAUAGCUGAAAUCUUUCCCCGCAAACACUACUGUUCUUGGCGUAGAAGGAGACGCAUUGAAGUACGAUUUUACCAUUUUUCGCAUGUAGAGGAUAACAGCCUUUUACGCGAUAUCCCUCACUGUUUAUGUUCAAAUUUCAUCACACUCAUCUUUUGACAGAAAAGGGAGAUUGUGAAAAAAAACAUUGAUUGAUGCAAAAAAAAAAAAAAAAAAGUUGUAUGAUACAAUGUGCAGAAUGUCUCUCAAGCUGAAACUGAGCAUGAUUACUUCCAUCAGAGAAAAGACAGUUUUACAGUCAGCUCUAUUGGAUGCUGGAUCAGUGAUCCCCGGGCUUGGCGGCAAAAUGGAUGAUACUGGAAUAUUCAGGAAUUUUGGCGAUAGGAUCACUAAGAGGCGAGCUACACUGGAUUGUUCGUUAACUUUUGUGCCCUGUUCUGGAAGCUAUAAAAGGGCGGCACUCCAAGCGGAAGUUAGUUGUAAGUUAGUCAGCAACGAAUUAGUUGGAUCAGUUCAGCGAAGCGCAAGUGCCAGAGUGUAGCUCAAGUGAUUGGUGGAUUGAGCCAUGCACCAAGACUUGGAGACAAAUAUUGAAGCAGCAUCGAGUUGUCUAUGGAGAAGUGAGUCGGCAAUUGGGUACAACUAAAGCGAGGAGACAGUGGAGAAUAGCAGAUGUUUGGAGAGACCUUUUUAACAGAGGAUCCAGCUCAGUUUACAGUAAAAUUGCCUGAAUUAUCACAAAAAGGUGUGCAAAGAGAAGUUUGUUUCUUGCGUAAAGUCCCUUGGAACAUUUAAUCAGUCAGAUCAGAAAUCAAGAUUAGAGAUGUUUUUUUUUUUAAAUUUUAUUUUGAUGCCUACAAAAGAAAGCUCUAAAGAUAUUAAAAAUUUAGUAUAUAGAACACAUCUACUUCUAUAGAAAAGGAGAAAUCAUCAUUUCAUAUGAGAAAAGUAAGGCUGAACAGUCGGAUUUAAUAUUCUUAUCCAUGAAUGUUUUGAUGCAAAAAGCUGAAAAACUGCAGUGAGAGAGAGAAAAUGUUGAAAAAAUGCCAAAUAGGAAGUUUAAUGUUCUUAAACUUUGAUACUGGAGAAAUGUUUGAAUCAAUGACUUGCCAGAUAAUUAUUCAUUUUUACUUUAACAAAGACUUUUGUAAAGUGGCUUGAAAAUAUUAAAAAUAUAUGUAAAUUUUUAGUAGAAUAAAAUGCCAAUGCUUCUGAAAAUAAAACAUACUUUUUUUUCCCUGAACCAUUUUCAUAAAAGGUUACAAAUAUUUUGUUUGUUUGUAUUAAUAAGGUUUCAGAAUAAUAUUGUAUC